GAUGAACGCUGGCGGCGUGCCUAACACAUGCAAGUCGAACGGGGAGCUUAUUUCGAUAGGCUUCCAGUGGCGAACGGGUGAGUAACACGUUGGUGACCUGCCCUAAAGUGGGGGACAACUCCUCGAAAGAGGCGCUAAUACCCCGGAUGUCUGAGAGGUUAGAAGGCUCAGACUAAAGUUUUUCGGAAUGCUUUGGGUAGGGGGCCGUGCGGGCUAUCAGCUAGUUGGUGAGGUAAAGGCUCACCAAGGCGAAGACGGCUAGGGGGCGGUGAGAGCGUCGACCCCCACCAA
rnacentral:rRNA from 1 species